CAUAUACUCCUCCGUUCCAUAAUUCUUGUCGAAAUAUUACGUGUAUCUAGACGCUUUUUAGAAAUAGAUACAUCCAUUUUUGGGCAAAUUUGAGACAAGAAUUAUGGAACGGAGGGAGUACAUC
rnacentral:pre_miRNA from 1 species